rnacentral:rRNA from 1 species
AGAGUUUGAUCCUGGCUCAGAUUGAACGCUGGCGGCAUGCCUUACACAUGCAAGUCGAACGGUAACAGGUUAAGCUGACGAGUGGCGAACGGGUGAGUAAUGUAUCGGAACGUGCCCAGUCGUGGGGGAUAACUACUCGAAAGAGUGGCUAAUACCGCAUGAGACCUGAGGGUGAAAGCGGGGGAUCGCAAGACCUCGCGCGAUUGGAGCGGCCGAUAUCAGAUUAGCUAGUUGGCGGGGUAAAAGCCCACCAAGGCGACGAUCUGUAGCUGGUCUGAGAGGACGACCAGCCACACUGGGACUGAGACACGGCCCAGACUCCUACGGGAGGCAGCAGUGGGGAAUUUUGGACAAUGGACGAAAGUCUGAUCCAGCCAUGCCGCGUGCGGGAAGAAGGCCUUCGGGUUGUAAACCGCUUUUGUCAGGGAAGAAACGACGUCCUCUAAUACAGGGUGUUAAUGACGGUACCUGAAGAAUAAGCACCGGCUAACUACGUGCCAGCAGCCGCGGUAAUACGUAGGGUGCAAGCGUUAAUCGGAAUUACUGGGCGUAAAGCGUGCGCAGGCGGUUAUGCAAGACAGAUGUGAAAUCCCCGGGCUCAACCUGGGAACUGCAUUUGUGACUGCAUGGCUAGAGUACGGUAGAGGGGGAUGGAAUUCCGCGUGUAGCAGUGAAAUGCGUAGAUAUGCGGAGGAACACCGAUGGCGAAGGCAAUCCCCUGGACCUGUACUGACGCUCAUGCACGAAAGCGUGGGGAGCAAACAGGAUUAGAUACCCUGGUAGUCCACGCCCUAAACGAUGUCAACUGGUUGUUGGGAGGGUUUCUUCUCAGUAACGUAGCUAACGCGUGAAGUUGACCGCCUGGGGAGUACGGCCGCAAGGUUGAAACUAAAAGGAAUUGACGGGGACCCGCACAAGCGGUGGAUGAUGUGGUUUAAUUCGAUGCAACGCGAAAAACCUUACCUACCCUUGACAUGUCUGGAAUCCUGAAGAGAUUUGGGAGUGCUCGAAAGAGAGCCAGAACACAGGUGCUGCAUGGCCGUCGUCAGCUCGUGUCGUGAGAUGUUGGGUUAAGUCCCGCAACGAGCGCAACCCUUGUCAUUAGUUGCUACGAAAGGGCACUCUAAUGAGACUGCCGGUGACAAACCGGAGGAAGGUGGGGAUGACGUCAGGUCAUCAUGGCCCUUAUGGGUAGGGCUACACACGUCAUACAAUGGCCGGUACAGAGGGCUGCCAACCCGCGAGGGGGAGCCAAUCCCAGAAAACCGGUCGUAGUCCGGAUCGUAGUCUGCAACUCGACUGCGUGAAGUCGGAAUCGCUAGUAAUCGCGGAUCAGCUUGCCGCGGUGAAUACGCUCCCGGGUCUUGUACACACCGCCCGUCACACCAUGGGAGCGGGUUCUGCCAGAAGUAGUUAGCCUAACCGCAAGGGGGGCGAUUACCACGGCAGGGUUCGUGACUGGGGUGAAGUCGUAACAAGGUA